GACAUAGGUGGCAAACGUUAUCCGGAAUUAUUGGGCGUAAAGGGUGCGUAGGUGGUUCAAUAAGUUACUGGUGGCAAAUCGGGGCCCAACCCCGUGGAAGUCAGUAAUACUAUUAAACUAGAGGAUCGGAGAGGUUAAUGGAAUUCUAUGCGUAGCGGUAAAAUGCUCAAAUAUAUAGAGGAACACCAAACGGCGAAGGCAGUUAACUAUUCGGUUCCUGACAUUGAGGCACGAAAGCGUGGGGAGCAAGACGG
rnacentral:rRNA from 1 species